AACUUCAUUAAAAUUUCUGAUAAAAGUAGAUAGUUGAUUACUUUUGUUCAUGAUUGGAAGUAUUUCUAUUUGUAAUGUAAUCUCUCGAAAACGUGUUGUAGAAUAAAUAAAUGAAUUGGAUGAAACUGAUAUACGUUGAAAUGAACAAAAUGGCCCGCACGUAAUGUGUGAAAAUCGCAGUGUUAUUAAUAAACGCGUCAAAACGAUUGUACUACGGAAUGUAUAAUGAUAGUAGAAAAAAGAUAAUUAUUACUCGUGCAUGAUAAGACACUGUGUAAUAUCGAACGCAAUGCCUAACCGUAUAACACGUUCGAUAAAAUGUGACAAAUAUAGCGUUAUAAACGAUCGCAGAUGGCAGCUGUUUGUUGCGCAAUUCAGUCUAAACGUGAUUCUUCAGGCGCGAACCGUAUGUACGCGAGGUUACUCGGACGAUUCGUACGACACUGCGGCAAUUAUCAGAUCCGUCGGAUGCAUUUACUUUCAACUUAUCAGACGAAAAGGCUUAAACGCCCGUGAUACGAGUGCUAUCGGCUUCUCUUAACUAUUCUGCCGUCUAUUGUAGCGAAUUUCAGGGGAAUAAUCGUUUAAUUGCAUCCCAUUAAGCGUGUAAACCCGCGGAAGACCCAUGUUCAGCGUCUGUUACAACCUCAAGUUUGUUAAAAAUAUAUUAAAUAACGAGUGGCGGAUUGCUAAACGUUGCAAGUGCCAAAAUCUUCACCGACGAAGCGUUAAUGGCGAAAUGAAUGACUAUCGAAGGACAGUGAAUACAAAGCAUUGAACACAACGUACCUAUAUGAGUUAUAUUGUGUGAGGAGUGGCAUUAGAAACGAAAUGGGCUUCAACGGAUGCCAAUCAACCGUUAGCAAGUCGACAUUAGGAUCGAACAUUCUUUGCUGGAAUCGUCCGUUCAAGGAAUACCACACAUCGAUGUAGAUGCUCAGAUUCGUCGAUAAACGUGACCAUUUCGUUGUCUUUCUGAAUUGAUGAUUAUUCUUCCACAUAUGCUUCUCUUGCUCUAUUAAGUUGUCCUAAAGCAUAUUGUCUGGCCAUGUCGCCAUGUUUCUCCCAUCGAUCAGUUUGCACCCACACUUUGGGAUCCAAGUAUCGAUCUUCGUUGCUUAGAUUGUCGUGGAUUUUGAUUUCGACCAAUAUGGCGUCCCAAGAAAAUAAUGAAUGGUGCAUUGAAGUGUUUACUUAAUAUUUGUUCUUAUAUUUUAGAGAUGGAGGAGUUUGAGAAAAGAAAAAGAAAAAAAGCAAUUUAAACGAACGAGUCGAAUUCGUACGAAUCACUUCAGAUUUGAUUAAUUAGAAUCGCAAAGAUUUAAUCUCUACGUAUGUUUACAAAAGCAUCGAUACAGACGAUACCUUUGUGAUGAAAUGAGAGUACGGAAGGAAGAAUUGCAAGACCAUGUGAAAGAGUAAAAGAGAUACAACAAAUUUUUGCCUCUUCGUCGCACCUCUGGCUUGCUUCGUACUCUUGCAAACAGCCCUGAUACCAUUGUCUUCUUGUUUCAGUGUUUGAAGUGCAUCUGUUUGCUUCGCAGUUGAACUGAUUAAUCUGUGGUCUCUUUCAAAGUCGACUUUAUCUCGCGAAGUGAAGUUUGUUUGUAAAUUGAGGAUAUUUUCAGUUGAUCCUUCAGAAGAUGCUGUAUAAAAAGAUUCUUCUUCGGGCAUAUCUUUGAAUUCAUUUACCGACGUUUCAUCGUAGCUUUCGAUGACCUGUUUUCGUGUAAA